rnacentral:rRNA from 1 species
GACGAACGCUGGCGGCGUGCUUAACACAUGCAAGUCGAACGGAAAGGCCCUGCUUGCAGGGUACUCGAGUGGCGAACGGGUGAGUAACACGUGGGUGAUCUGCCCUGCACUUCGGGAUAAGCCUGGGAAACUGGGUCUAAUACCGGAUAGGAGCCAUUUUUAGUGUGAUGGUUGGAAAGUUUUUUCGGUGUAGGAUGAACUCGCGGCCUAUCAGCUUGUUGGUGGGGUAAUGGCCUACCAAGGCGGCGACGGGUAGCCGGCCUGAGAGGGUGGACGGCCACAUUGGGACUGAGAUACGGCCCAGACUCCUACGGGAGGCAGCAGUGGGGAAUAUUGCACAAUGGGCGCAAGCCUGAUGCAGCGACGCCGCGUGGGGGAUGACGGCCUUCGGGUUGUAAACUCCUUUCGCUAGGGACGAAGCUUUUGUGACGGUACCUAGAUAAGAAGCACCGGCUAACUACGUG